rnacentral:lncRNA from 1 species
CACCAAAGAAGCUGGACUAUUCUGAAGUGGCUGUGAUGGAAGGGAGCCCAAGCUAGCCACAGGAAGAAGCCAUGUAGAGGCAGAGCGCUAUGUCAACUAGCCUCCAGCUAUUCCACUUUUCUCAGCCCUGGUGCUAGCCAUGCUGUUGAUUUCCCAGGAGAAACAGACCUUGCAAGCAGAUCAGAUUUUCCUGUUAUCUGGCCAGUGCCUUCUUCUCCGAAGUUUGGGGAGCAAAAUCAUGAUGAGGCUGUGGUUUUGUGAGCAGGACUGGAGGAAAGAGUUGAUGGAAGACUUGGUUAAGCCAUGACCUGGUGAUACAUGCAACAGUUUGCCUAUCAGACAGCUCUGCCAGCCUGCACGUUCCAGAAAGGCAAGCGCAGCGUGUUAUCCACAUCUUCAGCAGUAACUGCUACACAGAAGAUGCUCAGUCAACGGGUGUGUUUGCUUUUUUUUUUUUUUUUUUACCAUUUGC